rnacentral:lncRNA from 1 species
GUGGUUCAGAGACCUGAAAAUGAAAUGUCGGUUAUUUUACACUACUAAGUGAGACUCAAGAAUUAUGCUGGCUCCAGGGGAUGGCGGACAUCUUAUGCAUUCAGUACAUGAUUUUGGACUAAUAAAUUAAUGAAAAGCAAAUUGGUAUAGUAACAAAGAAAACAAGCUCACUGCACAAAGCAAUUGCAUGACCUUGGAAAGAUUACUUAAUUUCUCUAUGACUCCAUGAAUUGGGCUCACCAACAAAAGAAUAAAGCAAACAUGGACAAAUGCUUUUAGUUUUUUUUUUGAUAAUUAAAGGAAUAACUCAUUUCAGGAAGUUUAGUUUACCGGAUAAAAUAUAUUGUUUAAUAUUAAUUUUUUUUUGACUCUAUCUGUUUUCCAUUCUUACUUCCAGCAUAUUAAAAUUAUAUCUUUGGGAUAGAAAUUUUCUGAAUGCUGCUUCUGUCAAAAUUCAUUGUUUUAAAUUACAGUCAUUUUUUUCUUCUUACCUCUAACAGCACCUAUUGCCAUACAGAGUCUGGAACUGAGAUUUGGUUCUGAGUGAUAUAGAGAAUUAAGAGAGAUAGGG